rnacentral:rRNA from 1 species
UACGUAGGGUGCGAGCGUUGUCCGGAAUUAUUGGGCGUAAAGAGCUCGUAGGCGGUUUGUCACGUCUGCUGUGAAAUCCCUGGGCUCAACCCCGGGCCUGCAGCCGAUACGGGCAGACUAGAGUUCGGCAGGGGAGACUGGAAUUCCUGGUGUAGCGGUGAAAUGCGCAGAUAUCAGGAGGAACACCGGUGGCGAAGGCGGGUCUCUGGGCCGAUACUGACGCUGAGGAGCGAAAGCGUGGGGAGCAAACAGG